CCGUAGCCCUAGAAGCUGAACGAGAGAACUUGUGCAGCAACGAGCAUUACGAUGUCGGCUUUAAAGGUUGCUCUCGUGCUUAUGCUCGCACUCACAAUCAUGGUCGAGAACGUCUCAAGUGCGAGACCAGAGAGCAGCUCCAGUACCCACUCUUGUGAGAAAAGUACCUGCAGUGCAGGGAAUAAGAAUUGCCCACCACCAUGCCAAUGCGUCCAACACGGCAACAAAUAUUCUUGCGUGG